rnacentral:rRNA from 1 species
CAGUAGCCGCGGGAAUACGUAGGUGGCGAGCGUUGUCCGGAAUCAUUGGGCGUAAAGGGAGCGCAGGCGGGCAUGUAAGUCUUUCUUAAAAGUGCGGGGCUCAACCCCGUGAUGGGAAAGAAACUACAUGUCUUGAGUACAGGAGAGGAAAGCGGAAUUCCCAGUGUAGCGGUGAAAUGCGUAGAUAUUGGGAGGAACACCAGUGGCGAAGGCGGCUUUCUGGACUGCAACUGACGCUGAGGCGCGAAAGCCAGGGGAGCGAACGGGAUUAGAUACCCGUGUAGUCCCUGUCUCUUAUACA